rnacentral:rRNA from 1 species
GCAAGUCGAGCGGCAGUUUUUUCUUCGGAAGGAAUGAGAGCGGCGCACGGGUGAGUAACGCGUACGGAAUCUACCGAUAGUUGGGGGAUAGCCUUGGGAAACUGGGAGUAAUCCGCCAUAUCUUUAUGAGAUGGCAUCAUUUUAUAAAGAAAGCUGAGGCGACUAUUGAUGAUCGUGCGUCUGAUUAGGUAGUUGGUAGGGUAACGGCCUACCAAGCCGACGAUCAGUAGGGGGCGUGAGAGCGUGGCCCCCCACACGGGUACUGAGACACGGACCCGACUCCUACGGGAGGCAGCAGUAAGGAAUAUUGGUCAAUGGGCGGAAGCCUGAACCAGCCAUCCCGCGUGCAGGAUGACUGCCCUAUGGGUUGUAAACUGCUUUUAUCUGGGAAUAAACCACUCUAUUUAUGGGGUGUUGAAGGUACCAGAAGAAUAAGCACCGGCUAACUCCGUGCCAGCAGCCGCGGUAAUACGGAGGGUGCAAGCGUUAUCCGGAAUCACUGGGUUUAAAGGGUGCGUAGGCGGCGUAAUAAGUCAGAGGUGAAAGGCUACAGCUUAACUGUGGAAUUGCCUUUGAUACUGUUAUGCUUGAAUAAGGAUGAGGUUGGCGGAAUGUGGCAUGUAGCGGUGAAAUGCAUAGAUAUGCCAUAGAACA